GACGAACGCUGGCGGCGUGCCUAAUACAUGCAAGUCGAACGCACUCUCGUUUAGAUUGAAGGAGUUUGCUCCUGAUUGAUAAACAUUUGAGUGAGUGGCGGACGGGUGAGUAACACGUGGGUAACCUGCCCUAAAGUGGGGGAUAACAUUUGGAAACAGAUGCUAAUACCGCAUAAAACCUAACACCGCAUGGUGUAGGGUUGAAAGAUGGUUUCGGCUAUCACUUUAGGAUGGACCCGCGGUGCAUUAGUUAGUUGGUGAGGUAAGGGCUCACCAAGACCGUGAUGCAUAGCCGACCUGAGAGGGUAAUCGGCCACACUGGGACUGAGACACGGCCCAGACUCCUACGGGAGGCAGCAGUAGGGAAUCUUCCACAAUGGACGAAAGUCUGAUGGAGCAACGCCGCGUGAGUGAAGAAGGUUUUCGGAUCGUAAAACUCUGUUGUUGGAGAAGAAUGUAUCUGAUAGUAACUGAUCAGGUAGUGACGGUAUCCAACCAGAAAGCCACGGCUAACUACGUG
rnacentral:rRNA from 1 species